rnacentral:rRNA from 1 species
GACGAACGCUGGCGGCGUGCUUAACACAUGCAAGUCGAGCGGUAAGGCCCUUUCGGGGGUACACGAGCGGCGAACGGGUGAGUAACACGUGGGUGACCUGCCCUCAGCUCUGGGAUAAGCCUGGGAAACUGGGUCUAAUACUGGAUAUGACUCCACGGUGCAUGUCGUGGGGUGGAAAGCCUUGUGCGGCUGAGGAUGGGCCCGCGGCCUAUCAGCUUGUUGGUGGGGUGANGGCCUACCAAGGCGACGACGGGUAGCCGGCCUGAGAGGGCGACCGGCCACACUGGGACUGAGACACGGCCCAGACUCCUACGGGAGGCAGCAGGUGGGGAAUCUUGCGCAAGUGGGCGAAAGCCUGACGCAGCGACGCCGCGU